UGUUUUUUUUUUUUUUUGUUUUUGAACAUUCAGUCAAUCUUGUAUAAGACCAAAACUGCUGAUGUUCAUGCCUGUAAACACCUUGGCCUUAUGUAAGCAUACCUCAAUUUCCUGCCCACUCAAAAUUAGCGACACAUCUCCAUUGCAUCAUUGCGGUCAGCGCGGUAAUACUGUACGCCCCCCCCCCCGACUCCCCCCGGUGCCACCUGUUGAAAGUUCCUCCGACCAAGGUCUGCCUGCAUUUGGCGAAGGGUGGGGGGGGGGCUUGCGUUUUCAGUGCAGUUUCCAUUCAAAGGAAGGCGACCUGACGUGGGCGACACAUUAGUAUACGCAUAAAAAAUUAGUCUGGGUUUUGUGAAACACAUGCUGUGGCUUUUCUGUAGUUUAUGAGUCAUGUGCAUUGCAAGGUUAAGGGGAGGGGGGUCAUCACGGUGAAGUUCCACUUCGCUGAAAAAUAUGCUUUCAAGCCAUCUUAGGCCUCAUUGUGAGGCAAAUUCUAAAUCAAAUUUGAAAUGUGAGAUCCAUGAAAGACUCAAAUUUCCCAAUAGGUGCGGAGGCGAGAGUAAAGGGCUCUUUGUCCGGCACCCAUCGAUAGAGUAACUAAGUUACUUUUUCAAGGUAACUGUGGCAACACUGGUCAAGAUGGAGCGAAGCGAUGCGGAAGAUGAGUCAGCACCAAAAGUGACCUCCUCCAAAGAGACCACGUGACUGUUUGUCCCACGCUCAGCCGGUUGGCGUGCGACGGCUCGAUCCCACCGUAACACGACGCCGCAUGUCGAGAGGGGGGACCACAUGGGGAGCACCGUGUUGUGAUUUUUCUUUCUUUUUUUUUUCUUUUUGGUUUCAUGAGUAGGAGACGGACGUAUGAUACAUUCCAGCCCCCCGGCGGCCCUGCUACCUAUAGACAUCAAUCCUCUCCCCUUUCACUGGAACAAUAAACCCACUGCCGCCGAGAGAGAACUCAUAUCAGAACACCUCCUCUGUGGAACGUUGCCUGCUCGGUCCAUAAAGCUCAACCUUCUAGUCACCUCCAUAAUGGCCUGUGAGGGGCACUUCAACCCCGGCCCGAAAUCGCAACUCUAAAGCUUGACCUGGCAGUGAUGAUGUGAUACGUGACCCCCCUGAAUGAGCACCUCAUAUGGAGAAAUGUUUUUAACGGCGUUGUAUAAUUCAGAUGAGACUUGGUGAUGCUGCGUUCAAUGAGGCCCAGAUGGAAGAGGAUAUGAGUUUUGCAAACAACCCCCCACCCCACCUCCAUGACACCUUUGUUCACACCCACAACCAAAAUUCCUCCUAACUUGUCACUCCUUUCACAGUGAUGUGUCAAGUGUGAUACAAGUUCCGCGAGUGGCACCUCAGGCUCCGUUUCAUGGGAGCGGCCAUUUUGCCACUUGCGGUUGACUGAAAAUGACAUCAGAGUGCCAAGGGGCUCGUCUUGAAAACGUCUCGCGACCAAAUCCAGAAAACAGGCCUUGGCGACCAGGGAGGAUAAAGAAUAUAUGCCG